GCCGGGCACGGUGGUGCGUGCCUGUAGUCCCAGCUACUCGGGAGGCUAAGGCUGGAGGAUUGCUUGAGUCCAGGAGUUCUGGACUGUAGCGCUAUGCCUAUCGCGUGUCCGCAGUAAGUUCGGCAUCAAUAUGGUGACCUCCCGGGAACAGGGGACCACCAGGUUGCCUAAGGAGGGGUGAACCAGCCCAGAUCGGAAAAGGUGCAGGUCAAAACUGUGCUGAUCAGUAGUGGGAUCGUGCCUGUGAAUAGCCACUGCACUCCAGCCUGGGCAACAUAGCGAGACCCUUUCUCU
rnacentral:SRP_RNA from 1 species